GCGGGUUUAGCUCAGUUGGGAGAGCGUCAGACUGAAGUCAAAACUUCACCAAGUUAACACACCAGUAACCAGUUACAUCUGAAGGUCGUGUGUUCGAUCCACACAAACCGCA